AGUACCUGUAUGCUACAGUGAGGGAAGGAAGGAGAGCCUCUCCACAGUUGCCCUCGCAGAGGUUCCCGGCUGCUGAGAUGACAGUCUUCACUGCUCUCAUCCCGAAGUCAUAGUGGUCCUGUACAUACCGCACAGAAGAGGCAUGUGUGGAUGCUGACCUGUGAACAUGGCCUCCCACAUGGAAUCUGACUAAUGCCUCACCACCCAUCUUGGAGCUGAGAUGUCAUUUCGCCCAGAGACCUGCUAUGGCUACUCACCUGCACACUGCAGCCUGGGCGAGGUGCCCUCCUUUGGCUGCUUGGCACCUUCUAUGUCACCAUCCCAACAGUCCUUUGGCUAUAGGAGUCCCUGUUCUGAAGCUCUCUCUCACAGAGGGGGGAGUUUGGAACAGCUCUGGAGGUGGUAAUAUUUCGGUCGGAGGCCGCGGAAUGACAAGGGGUCUUACCUGGGAGCUGAGCUGCUCAGAAGACAGCUUGAAGGUGGUGGUGAUCUUCUUAGCCAGCACAUUGGCCUCGUUGAAGCCGAAGGAAUACAGUGAGAUCUCAGCAAUCAUGGCGUAAUCGGGGACCAUCAUGGCCACAGGUCGGAAGAGGGCCUGGACCCACAACACACUCAGGAAAGGCAGACACAUCACAGCCCCACCCAGGGCCUUAACACGCUCUCUGGAUGGUCUGAUUCAUAGCUAGCGCUGGGACUCUCUGUACCACACCUGCCACACUGAGGCUUCCACUCCUCAGUGGCUGUGAAGCUCAUACCAUUAAAAAUAGGUGCUUUGUGUUGAUGAACACCUUCCCCAUGAAACUUCCAGGAGCGGGCCACUCUUAGUUCCUGUCUUCCCACUUUUCCUCACCUUUGCGCCUUCUAUCAGGCCCAACCCCAUAGGAACCCCAGACCUCCCCAUGUCCUGAAGACAAGUCCAGGGCCUUCCCACUCUGUAGCUGGGUGUGGUCCAAUGGGCUCCCUGGAAAGAAGUGCCACCACAGGGAAUCCCAGGUCUUCAUGCUAGGCAGCUAGCUAUUGUGUUCUCAAACCAGAGCUUUAACAUCUUAGGGUUCAGUCUAAAUCUCUGUCACCUUCUGGCCACCCUGAGCCUGAACUUGCCUUCAGGUUGUCAGGCAGCUCUGUGCGGCCAGCAUACCCUGGAUUCAUGGUGAUGAAUACAGCGCAGGAUGGUACAAGGGGGAUUUCAACACCCUCAAAC
rnacentral:lncRNA from 1 species